rnacentral:rRNA from 1 species
UAAUUCAAUUUCUAUAAAAUUAAUGCAUUAGAUCCCAUUAGAACUCUGUAGUUAAGUGUGUUUGGGAAAGAGAAGUACUAGGAUGAGUGACCUCCCUAGAAGUACUAAGGUAAAAUCAU